GGAUGUUAGCGGCGGACGGGUGAGUAACACGUGGGUAACCUGCCUGUAAGACUGGGAUAACUCCGGGAAACCGGAGCUAAUACCGGAUAGUUCCUUGAACCGCAUGGUUCAAGGAUGAAAGACGGUUUCGGCUGUCACUUACAGAUGGACCCGCGGCGCAUUAGCUAGUUGGUGAGGUAACGGCUCACCAAGGCGACGAUGCGUAGCCGACCUGAGAGGGGUGAUCGGCCCACACUGGGACUGAGACACGGGCCCAGACUCCUACGGGAGGCAGCAGUAGGGAAUCCUUCCGCAAUGGACGAAAGUCUGACGGAGCAACGCCGCGUGAGUGAUGAAGGUUUUCGGAUCGUAAAGCUCUGUUGUUAGGGAAGAACAAGUGCAAGAGUAACUGCUUGCACCUUGACGGUACCUAACCAGAAAGCCACGGCUAACUACGUGCCAGCAGCCGCGGUAAUACGUAGGUGGCAAGCGUUGUCCGGAAUUAUUGGGCGUAAAGGGCUCGCAGGCGGUUUCUUAAGUCUGAUGUGAAAGCCCCCGGCUCAACCGGGGAGGGUCAUUGGAAACUGGGAAACUUGAGUGCAGAAGAGGAGAGUGGAAUUCCACGUGUAGCGGUGAAAUGCGUAGAGAUGUGGAGGAACACCAGUGGCGAAGGCGACUCUCUGGUCUGUAACUGACGCUGAGGAGCGAAAGCGUGGGGAGCGAACAGGAUUAGAUACCCUGGUAGUCCACGCCGUAAACGAUGAGUGCUAAGUGUUAGGGGGUUUCCGCCCCUUAGUGCUGCAGCUAACGCAUUAAGCACUCCGCCUGGGGAGUACGGUCGCAAGACUGAAACUCAAAGGAAUUGACGGGGGCCCGCACAAGCGGUGGAGCAUGUGGUUUAAUUCGAAGCAACGCGAAGAACCUUACCAGGUCUUGACAUCCUCUGACAACCCUAGAGAUAGGGCUUUCCCUUCGGGGACAGAGUGACAGGUGGUGCAUGGUUGUCGUCAGCUCGUGUCGUGAGAUGUUGGGUUAAGUCCCGCAACGAGCGCAACCCUUGAUCUUAGUUGCCAGCAUUCAGUUGGGCACUCUAAGGUGACUGCCGGUGACAAACCGGAGGAAGGUGGGGAUGACGUCAAAUCAUCAUGCCCCUUAUGACCUGGGCUACACACGUGCUACAAUGGACAGAACAAAGGGCUGCGAGACCGCAAGGUUUAGCCAAUCCCACAAAUCUGUUCUCAGUUCGGAUCGCAGUCUGCAACUCGACUGCGUGAAGCUGGAAUCGCUAGUAAUCGC
rnacentral:rRNA from 2 species